UGGGGAAUUUUGGACAAUGGGGGCAACCCUGAUCCAGCAAUGCCGCGUGAGUGAAGAAGGCCUUCGGGUUGUAAAGCUCUUUUGUCAGGGAAGAAACGGGAGUGGCUAAUAUCCAUUCCUAAUGACGGUACCUGAAGAAUAAGCACCGGCUAACUACGUGCCAGCAGCCGCGGUAAUACGUAGGGUGCAAGCGUUAAUCGGAAUUACUGGGCGUAAAGCGUGCGCAGGCGGUUUUGUAAGUCUGACGUGAAAUCCCCGGGCUUAACCUGGGAAUUGCGUUGGAGACUGCAAGGCUGGAGUCUGGCAGAGGGGGGUAGAAUUCCACGUGUAGCAGUGAAAUGCGUAGAGAUGUGGAGGAACACCGAUGGCGAAGGCAGCCCCCUGGGUCAAGACUGACGCUCAUGCACGAAAGCGUGGGGAGCAAACA
rnacentral:rRNA from 1 species